rnacentral:rRNA from 1 species
CAGUAGCCACGGUAAUACGUAGGGUGCAAGCGUUGUCCGGAAUUAUUGGGCGUAAAGAGCUCGUAGGCGGUUUGUCGCGUCUGCUGUGAAAUCUGGGGGCUCAACCCCCAGCCUGCAGUGGGUACGGGCAGACUAGAGUGCGGUAGGGGAGAUUGGAAUUCCUGGUGUAGCGGUGGAAUGCGCAGAUAUCAGGAGGAACACCGAUGGCGAAGGCAGAUCUCUGGGGCGUAACUGACGCUGAGGAGCGAAAGCAUGGGGAGCGAACAGGAUUAGAGACCCCAGUAGUCCCUGUCUCUUAUAC